rnacentral:misc_RNA from 1 species
GAAAUGCGAUAAGUAAUGUGAAUUGCAGAAUUCAGUGAAUCAUCGAAUCUUUGAACGCACAUUGCGCCCGCCAGUAUUCUGGCGGGCAUGCCUGUUCGAGCGUCAUUUCAACCCUCAAGCUCAGCUUGGUGUUGGGACUCGCGGUAACCCGCGUUCCCCAAAUCGAUUGGCGGUCACGUCGAGCUUCCAUAGCGUAGUAAUCAUACACCUCGUUACUGGUAAUCGUCGCGGCCACGCCGUAAAACCCCAACUUCUGAAUGUUGACCUCGGAUCAGGUAGGAAUACCCGCUGAACUUAA